rnacentral:rRNA from 1 species
CAUAACCCCGGGAAACUGGGGAUAAUUCCGGAUAACGCAUAUUUGCUGGAAUGCUUUAUGCGUCAAAAGGAUUCGUCUGCCCAAGGAUGGGUCUGCGGCCUAUCAGGUAGUAGUGGGUGUAAUGUACCUACUAGCCAGCGACGGGUACGGGUUGUGAGAGCAAGAGCCCGGAGAUGGAUUCUGAGACAUGAAUCCAGGCCCUACGGGGCGCAGCAGGCGCGAAAACUUUACAAUGCGGGAAACCGUGAUAAGGGGACACCGAGUGCCAGCAUCAUAUGCUGGCUGUCCGGAUGUGUAAAAUACAUCCGUUAGCAAGGGCCGGGCAUGACCGGUGCCAGCCGCCGCGGUAACACCGGCGGCCCGAGUGGUGAUCGUGAUUAUUGGGUCUAAAGGGUCCGUAGCCGGUUUGGUCAGUCCUCCGGGAAAUCUGAUAGCUCAACUAUUAGGCUUUCGGGGGAUACUGCCAGACUUGGAACCGGGAGAGGUAAGAGGUACUACAGGGGUAGGAGUGAAAUCUUGUAAUCCCUGUGGGACCACCUGUGGCGAAGGCGUCUUACCAGAACGGGUUCGACGGUGAGGGACGAAAGCUGGGGGCACGAACCGGAUUAGAUACCCGGGUAGUCCCAGCCGUAAACGAUGCUCGCUAGGUGUCAGGCAUGGCGCGACCGUGUCUGGUGCCGCAGGGAAGCCGUGAAGCGAGCCACCUGGGAAGUACGGCCGCAAGGCUGAAACUUAAAGGAAUUGGCGGGGGAGCACAACAACGGGUGGAGCCUGCGGUUUAAUUGGACUCAACGCCGGACAACUCACCGGGGGCGACAGCAAUAUGUAGGCCAAGCUGAAGACUUUGCCUGAAUCGCUGAGAGGAGUGCAU